UAAUAACUUAGUUAUUUAGGUAAAAAUGUUAUGAAGGUAAUAACUAAUAAGUAAUAACUAUAUCGUAAUAAAUUAGUAAUGCGCCGUUGUAAUGAUUACUAUGCUCUAAGGUCAUAAAAUGGCCAUAAAAUCAAAAUAUCGUACAUGUCGUGACACAGCGACUACGAUCGCUACCGCCGGUCGCCAGUCGUAAGUCGUCGUCUUGAAUUACGCCGACAAGGGACAGCUGCAGCUGCACCAGGUACCUAGCACUCGUAAUCGUCAGUCGGCGAGGUCGAUGUUCGUCGCUGCACAAUGGUGGUUGUCCGCGUUGUCCGUCGUUCGCCAUCACAUCUCCGAUCACGGCCGGCCGCAGUCGGUCGUCAGUGAACCCUGCAGCACCAAACCCAGAGCCCGUUCCAGGAUUUCGUUGCCCCGUCUGCCCGCCUUCGGCAGCGAUUCGCCCAGAGUGCUGCGGAAGUUGGGAUACAAUCCCAGUUUCAUGACGUUACAGAGUAAGAAUACUUAUGCGGUUGGCACGGGUCAGUGGUAUGUUUUACGCAUCGGCAUAUCAAAUAUACGUAUUUUAAUUGAUGCUGAAGAGCCAAAUUUUCCAGAAUAUUUAUAAAAAAUCUUAAGGAGACGAUGAUAAAGUAUAAUUUUCAAUUUGAUCAUAUUAUAAUAUCACAUUGGCACUCGGAUCAUAUUGGCGGGGUAAAAAAUGUGUUCAAUAUGAUUGCUAAUAAAAAUGAUUGUCAAAUUUAAAAGUUCAAUCCCAAAAGAGGCAAGAAACGUGAUUAGAACUUUCCAUUACAUUUUGUAGAGAAUAAACAAAAGUUUGAAGUUGAAGGUGCUACAUUAUUAAUUCAUCAUACACCCGGACAUACAACUGAUCAUAUAGUUUUAUUUUGGGAAGAAGAUAUUGCAUUGUGCUAUGCUGAUUGUGUACUUGGAGAGGGAACUACUGUAUUUGAAGAUCUAACAGAAUAUUUAAAAUCAUUACAAUUGAUUUUAGACUUCAAUCCAACUGCUAUAUUUCCCAGUCACGGCUCUGUAAUAAAAAUUGUCAAAUUUAAAAGUUCAAUCCCAAAAGAGGCAAGAAACGUGAUUAGAACUUUCCAUUACAUUUUGUAGAGAAUAAACAAAAGUUUGAAGUUGAAGGUGCUACAUUAUUAAUUCAUCAUACACCCAGACAUACAACUGAUCAUAUAGUUAUAUUUUUGAAAGAAGAUAAUGCAUUGUUCUCUGCUGAUUGUGUACUUGAAGAGGGAACUACUGUAUUUGAAGAUCUAUCAGAAUAUUUAAAAUCGUUACAAUUGAUUUUAGACUUCAAUCCAACUGUUAUAUUUCCCAGUCACGGCUCUGUAAUAAAAGAAGGAAUUUUCUCUGAAUGUCGAUGAACCUGAACCCGUUAUUGCCAAUAUUUUAGGGGAACCAGCAGUUGAAACAGAAUGAUAUAUAUACUGCUAGAUGUACAAAUUCAACGGUUAGAUGCACAGAUACCAUUCGUCGAAGAUAAAGUACCUCAACCACACUAUUGAAAUUGGUACGUAAUCAAACUUUACGCAUUCUAAAAAUUGCUGGGCUUCAAGAUAAAUUAUCCGAAAACCAUACAUUAGUCGUUCUUUUCCCGGAUGCAAUAAAAGAUAAAAAUAUACUCACAAUGACUUGCAAAACUACGUACGAAGCGUCCGUCGAGUAUUUUGCUAUGUGUAUAAUAAUAUGUAGAAAGCAGGAACACCACCCCAACAUUGGUUAGAUAUGCUCCUGCAAUAUCAAUUAAUUAUCGACUACUUGAACGAUAGGCUUACAAUGCAACGCCUUGAACGAUUCAGACAUGCAAAAACAUAUAUUAGCUUUGUACAACAAUGCCAUAACCGUUUUCCUUUUUAAUGACAAGUAUUUUCCGGGUGAUCGUCAAAACUUGGCAAAUCCAAGCCGCUCGUUAGUGCACCGGUUGGAAGAGUCACAUUAAACGUCACUUGUCGAUCACUGAAAAACCAGAAGAAAAUAUAGAAGUGUUCGAUGUACAGCGAAAUGAAGUUCUAUGUGAUGCUAGAUUUGAAGCAGAUAAUUGUAAAAUUGUUAUUGGACAUAAAAAUGUUUUGAUAGCGGCUAGUCCAUAUUUCCGUGCAAUGUUUAGUAAUUUUGAUGAAAGCAAUAAAGCUAUUAUUAAUAUAAGAGAAUUGGAUUCAACCAUUUUACCACUAUUAGUAGAUUAUAUUUAUACUGGAGAAAUUAUGGUCACAAAGGAAAAUUUAC
rnacentral:lncRNA from 1 species